rnacentral:rRNA from 1 species
GACGAACGCUGGCGGCGUGCUUAACACAUGCAAGUCGAACGGAAAGGCCCUGCUUUUGUGGGGUGCUCGAGUGGCGAACGGGUGAGUAACACGUGAGUAACCUGCCCUUGACUUUGGGAUAACUUCAGGAAACUGGGGCUAAUACCGGAUCGGAGCUCCUGCUGCAUGGUGGGGGUUGGAAAGUUUCGGCGGUUGGGGAUGGACUCGCGGCUUAUCAGCUUGUUGGUGGGGUAGUGGCUUACCAAGGCUUUGACGGGUAGCCGGCCUGAGAGGGUGACCGGCCACAUGGGGACUGAGAUACGGCCCAGACUCCUACGGGAGGCAGCAGUGGGGAAUAUUGCACAAUGGGCGGAAGCCUGAUGCAGCAACGCCGCGUGCGGGAUGACGGCCUUCGGGUUGUAAACCGCUUUCGCCUGUGACGAAGCGUGAGUGACGGUAAUGGGUAAAGAAGCACCGGCUAACUACGUG